CAAAUUUCCCUAAAAUCCCUAAGUUAUUUUUCCCAAAUCACUUUAUUUCUUCCCCAAUUUCCCCUAACUGAUCGAAAUCUCUAACUAUUAAAGAAACAAGCCAACAUAAAUUCUUGUUUCCCUCCAAAUUAUCAAAAUCAUUUAACUUUUUGUUUGAGCCUAAUUUUUGGCUGGAAAUUCUUCGCCUCUUUCUCUCCGCUGCCGCUUCAAAAGGGGAAAAUGCACCAAACUACCUUUGUAUUGAGUGGAUAACAAAGAUAACUGCGGGAUAUGGGAGGCUGCUGUUGUUCUUCCCGGAAACCUAAUCUGCAUGGGACACCUGUAUAAUGGUUUUGGUUUGGGAAAACACUUAAAGCUUGGGUUUGGAGAUACGUAGUUAUCAGCAUUAGUUGGCAGAUAAUAUUGUCCCAGUGCAGGUUGCAGUUCGUUGCGAAGGUGUGCUAUCCUUUUUAAUGCCUGGUACAGACUAAAAUUAAUGGUUGCUUUUCAUUACUGUUUUCUUUAGUCUUCGAUCACUAUCACAUAAGGAGCUAUUAAAUUUCAGCUUAAUUAAUGCUUCAAAAAGAGGGGAUGCGUAUGUACCUAGCAUGAAUAAGCCUAAGACUCGGCUUAAGGGCAGUUUAAUUUUAAUGUUGGUGAUAUGAAUACUUGGUGAU